rnacentral:rRNA from 1 species
AGAGUUUGAUCCUGGCUCAGAGUGAACGCUGGCGGCGUGCCUAAUACAUGCAAGUCGAACGAUGAAGCUUCUAGCUUGCUAGAAUGCUGAUUAGUGGCGCACGGGUGAGUAACGCAUAGGUCAUGUGCCUCUUAGUUUGGGAUAGCCAUUGGAAACGAUGAUUAAUACCAGAUACUCCCUACGGGGGAAAGAUUUAUCGCUAAGAGAUCAGCCUAUGUCCUAUCAGCUUGUUGGUAAGGUAAUGGCUUACCAAGGCUAUGACGGGUAUCCGGCCUGAGAGGGUGAACGGACACACUGGAACUGAGACACGGUCCAGACUCCUACGGGAGGCAGCAGUAGGGAAUAUUGCUCAAUGGGGGAAACCCUGAAGCAGCAACGCCGCGUGGAGGAUGAAGGUUUUAGGAUUGUAAACUCCUUUUGUUAGAGAAGAUAAUGACGGUAUCUAACGAAUAAGCACCGGCUAACUCCGUGCCAGCAGCCGCGGUAAUACGGAGGGUGCAAGCGUUACUCGGAAUCACUGGGCGUAAAGAGCGCGUAGGCGGGAUAGUCAGUCAGGUGUGAAAUCCUAUGGCUUAACCAUAGAACUGCAUUUGAAACUACUAUUCUAGAGUGUGGGAGAGGUAGGUGGAAUUCUUGGUGUAGGGGUAAAAUCCGUAGAGAUCAAGAGGAAUACUCAUUGCGAAGGCGACCUGCUGGAACAUUACUGACGCUGAUUGUGCGAAAGCGUGGGGAGCAAACAGGAUUAGAUACCCUGGUAGUCCACGCCCUAAACGAUGGAUGCUAGUUGUUGGAGGGCUUAGUCUCUCCAGUAAUGCAGCUAACGCAUUAAGCAUCCCGCCUGGGGAGUACGGUCGCAAGAUUAAAACUCAAAGGAAUAGACGGGGACCCGCACAAGCGGUGGAGCAUGUGGUUUAAUUCGAAGAUACACGAAGAACCUUACCUAGGCUUGACAUUGAGAGAAUCCGCUAGAAAUAGUGGAGUGUCUAGCUUGCUAGACCUUGAAAACAGGUGCUGCACGGCUGUCGUCAGCUCGUGUCGUGAGAUGUUGGGUUAAGUCCCGCAACGAGCGCAACCCCCUUUCUUAGUUGCUAACAGGUUAUGCUGAGAACUCUAAGGAUACUGCCUCCGUAAGGAGGAGGAAGGUGGGGACGACGUCAAGUCAUCAUGGCCCUUACGCCUAGGGCUACACACGUGCUACAAUGGGGUGCACAAAGAGAAGCAAUACUGCGAAGUGGAGCCAAUCUUCAAAACACCUCUCAGUUCGGAUUGUAGGCUGCAACUCGCCUGCAUGAAGCUGGAAUCGCUAGUAAUCGCAAAUCAGCCAUGUUGCGGUGAAUACGUUCCCGGGUCUUGUACUCACCGCCCGUCACACCAUGGGAGUUGUGUUUGCCUUAAGUCAGGAUGCUAAACUAGCUACUGCCCACGGCACACACAGCGACUGGGGUGAAGUCGUAACAAGGUAACCGUAGGUGAACCUGCGGUUG